rnacentral:tRNA from 1 species
GCUGGCGUAGCUCAACUGGUAGAGCAAUUGAUUUGUAAUCAAUAGGUUGCGGGUUCGAGUCCCAUCGCCAGCUCCA